rnacentral:lncRNA from 11 species
CCAUCUGGACAGCAUGUGGUUGAAUCUACUUAGAGAGAGUAUCAAAGAGCAUGAGUAUGCACAAGGGACUGCAAUGGCAUUCAAAUGUGUAGCUCAAUGGCUACUUUACAGAAAAAAUAGUCUGGGUUCUAGGUCCUUUGGGUUAAAUACUUUUACUGUCAGGAAUCUGAAUUUCUUCAUCAAAUAUUAAAGGCAAAACAACCCUCUGACAUGCAAUAGUGAGCCACAUAAUUAUGAGGUUGUUCCUGGAAACUGAGGAUUGUUCAUGUUAUGGCUGGACAUUUAUUAUAAAAGAGUUCAUUACCCUUGGAAGCAGAGGCAUAUGUUGGAGUGAAAGAGCCCCGAACAGAGAUGAUUUGACAAUCCUGGAAAGAGUCCUUGUGUGCAACAAUAACAAACCAUCCAAACACUCAGGAUGCCGACUGGCAGAUUUGGCACUUGAAGAAUGGCAUGUUGCAGCUAUUGAUUGGCAGCUCCACACAGGGAUGCCAAAACAUGUGGAAAAUAUGAGCUGCAAUCCAGCAGCUGAUGACAUGUGAAGAUUGCAAUGUCAGUGGGCUAUUUGACAUUAAUGGGUUUGGAAUUUUUUGAAAGGGGGAAAAUAAGUCUUCAGUUCCUUUCACUUGAGGUUUCUGCAACAGAUGCAAAAGGAGUAGCAGCAAUUCAACACAGAGCCUCCUUCACACAGUCUUUCCCGUCUCUUGGAAACUAGAUGAUACAUCAUUAAUGCAAUUACAAAUGCUGUGAGUUACUUUAAAAUAACAAAAUUUGAAUAAAAGGUGCCUGAUCUGGAUCAGGACACUUCUAUCGGGAGU